AUUAAACGCUGGCGGCAUGCCUUACACAUGCAAGUCGAACGGCAGCACGGGGGCAACCCUGGUGGCGAGUGGCGAACGGGUGAGUAAAGCAUCGGAACGUGCCCUGGAGUGGGGGAUAACGUAGCGAAAGUUACGCUAAUACCGCAUAUUCUGUGAGCAGGAAAGCAGGGGAUCGCAAGACCUUGCGCUCUGGGAGCGGCCGAUGUCGGAUUAGCUAGUUGGUGGGGUAAAGGCCUACCAAGGCGACGAUCCGUAGCGGGUCUGAGAGGAUGAUCGCCACACUGGGACUGAGACACGGCCCAGACUCCUACGGGAGGCAGCAGUGGGGAAUUUUGGACAAUGGGCGAAAGCCUGAUCAGCCAUGCCGCGUGAGUGAAG
rnacentral:rRNA from 1 species